rnacentral:lncRNA from 1 species
CUCUGGCUGGAGCCUUUUAACCACAGGAUGACUUGGAGAAAUUGCUCCUGCAUGUUGCCUGAAUUACAACCAACCCCAAAUCCUUAGAUUUUGGCAUCAUAGUUUCUCCCACUUCCUUACCUGGAAAAUCAGUUCGGCUCUCCUUAGACUAAUAGAAGGAAAAUUCUUCUCGAGUCUAAACAGACAUGAUUCCCAGCUCACUCUGCAGCAAUAUUUCCUGGCAGGGGCUACAACUCCUCAAGAGCCUAUGUUUUUCAAGCAUAUAAAAGCAUGCACCUGCUUCCUUACUAAUUCCCUGAAUAAGCCUCAGGGCUAACUCUAUUCACCUGCUUAAUGUCAAUCUUCUUAAACAUGGUUGCUUCAUAAGCCUUCACAAAGCUGAACUUGCAGUUCUACUUCCACUGACUUUGGGUCAAAUCCUGUUCUGCAUUAAUGCGAUCCUGUCAGAAGAGCCUUACACAGUUGGACUCUUGUAACUGUCUUUGGAUCUAUGCCACUCCUAGAACUUGAGAAGGCAAAGCUGCAUAAGGAAAAAGCUUUUGACCUUGGUCCUUCACACUGUCAUCUUACUCCAGACUGCAAAAAGACAGAAGUCUCUACUUACCACUGCUUUAUUGCAAUGUGACUCAACAAGACCCAGGGUGAAGAACUAGACAUUGAGACUGGAAGCAAUGGAAUCCUGAAAAGGAUAUUACAGUGGGAACAACAACCACUCAUUUGGAAAAUCUAAAUGCAUGGGAGCAAUUGGAUUCCAGGGUGGCAGUGGCCAAUGACAUCACUCAAUCACCAUGGACAAGGUAACAACUCUACUUAUAAGAACAAACUUUAGCCUGCUACCAGGCCUUAGCAGAGACUGAAUGCUUCAUCAUGGACCACCGAGAUAUCAAGUGACCUGAGUUAACAUCGUGAACUGGAUGUUAUCUGACCAACCAAACCAUAAAGAUGGACAUUCACAGCAAUACUACAUCAUGAAUUGGAAGUGGCAUACAGGCAUAUCUCAGAAAUAUUGUGGGUUUGGUUCCAGACCACCACAAUAAACUGAAUAUUGC